CAUUUUUCUUUUGCAAUAUUGUUUUUUUUUUUGAUUCCAUUUUGCCUAGGUUCUUUGCUGAAUCUCACAUUAUACCAAAGCCAUGCUAGUGUAAGGAAAAUGCAAAUGAAUUUGCAAAGAAAGUUUGGUAGGAAGAUUUAAGGUGGGAGUUACAAAAUGGAGCUAGAAGAUUGCAAACCUUGGAAUUAUCUGCAAUAUUUUGAUUUGCACAUCUGAAAAAACUUUGUCAAUAUUUGUGAAGUUUGCUGGAUCUUGUGGAAAGGUUGCUUGCAGGGUUUACAAUGAGCAUUCUGAUAUUCAUUUGCAUUCAGAUCUGCAAAAAAUCGUGUUACUUCCGUACGGUAACGCUUCAACCUACAAAUAUUUUGGUUGUUCGGGGUCAAACUGCAAAUACUUUAGCAAAUCGGCCCUUUCUUUUCAAAUUUUUGUUAUAUUGGCUUGUAUUUCUUCAUUUCUAAUGAGUAUUUGCAAGGAUUUGUAGUUAUUUUGCUUGGCGACCUUCUUUCCUACAACUGGUGUGAGAAAUUUCACAUAAAUUUAUCCUUAACCUGCAAUAAUUGGCCUGAAUCUGCAAUUAUAUUUGUAUUGAUCUACAAUUUUUUUCUUGGCAUUUGCUCCUUUUUGGUAGUAAUCUGAAUGUAUUUUUCACUCGAUCUGUACUUUAUUGUGUUUGUUCGGUGAAUCGGCCUUUAUUUUCAGCUUCCUGUGCCGUCUAGACUUUCCUUUCUACGCCAUUCAAAAAGGUUUUGGGCGAAACUUCAAAUUGAAAUUCGAAUUGCACAUCGACUUUGCAUUGGCAGUCUAUUUGGCAUUCUACUCCUUUAUCUUCACAUUGGCAGCUAA